GAUGAACGCUGGCGGCGUGCCUAAUACAUGCAAGUCGAGCGAACAGACGAGGAGCUUGCUCCUCUGACGUUAGCGGCGGACGGGUGAGUAACACGUGGAUAACCUACCUAUAAGACUGGGAUAACUUCGGGAAACCGGAGCUAAUACCGGAUAAUAUAUUGAACCGCAUGGUUCAAUAGUGAAAGACGGUUUUGGUGUCACUUAUAGAUGGAUCCGCGCCGCAUUAGCUAGUUGGUAAGGUAACGGCUUACCAAGGCGACGCUGCGUAGACGACCUGAGAGGGGGAUCGGCCACACUGGAACUGAGACACGGUCCAGACUCCUACGGGACGCAGCAGUAGGGAAUCUUCCGCAAUGGGCGAAAGCCUGACGGAGCAACGCAGCGUGAGUGAUGAAGGUCUUCGGAUCGUAAAACUCUGUUAUUAGGGAAGAACAAAUGUGUAAGUAACUAUGCACGUCUUGACGGUACCUAAUCAGAAAGCCACGGCUAACUACGUG
rnacentral:rRNA from 1 species